UACGGGGGGGGCAAGCGUUGUUCGGAAUUACUGGGCGUAAAGGGCGCGUAGGCGGUUCGCUAAGUUGGAUGUGAAAACUCUGGGCUCAACCCAGAGCCUGCAUCCAAAACUGGCGGGCUAGAGUUCUGGAGGGGGUAGCGGAAUUCCUGGUGUAGCGGUGAAAUGCGCAGAUAUCAGGAGGAACACCGAUGGCGAAGGCAGGUCUCUGGGCCACUACUGACGCUGAGAAGCGAAAGCAUGGGGAGCGAACAGG
rnacentral:rRNA from 1 species